rnacentral:lncRNA from 1 species
AUUAGAUAUUUUUAUUUCAUAUAACAAAUUUAAAUAAAAUACCAUUUAUUCAGUUUUAAAAUGUAAAAACGUGUAUUAUUUAUCCUAUCAUCUAUAAAUGAAAUGUUUCCAACAAUAUAUUUUUUACCUUGGGAAUUGUUUUCCUGGUAAUGGUGAACACCCUAGCUGCAGUUACACCCAAGCAAUUUUUUCCGAAUCUUUUUCUGUAAGAAACAAUCUGAAAUGCAAAAAUCGAUCUGAAUCAGUACUAUCCAAAAGGCAGCCCGCCAAGCCAUUUUUUGCGGCCUGCGAGGUUUUCACAAUUUGUGAUAUAAUAUUUUUUAAUGUUUUUCUUUCACUUUUAUUAAUUGCUUUUUUUAAGAGACAAAUUAAAAAAUAAUCUUAAGAUAAUAUAAUUAAAUUUUAAUUAUUAGUAAUUAUUUAAUGAUCAG